rnacentral:lncRNA from 1 species
CUUCUUCUUCCUCAUCCAUCCCAACGCCAUUUGCAUAUUUCACCAAAAAAUAUCAAGUUUUUUCAUUUUCUGUCCUUGUUUUCUUUUCCUUUCUCUUCUUACUUCUUUCUUCUCCUAGCUUCUUGGGCACUAAACCUGCAACUUUUAAUCUCAAUUUCCAGCACAUCUAAACCUUAGGAGAAAGAAAGAAAAAUCUCUCUUCCUUUCCUUUAUUUUCAAUUUCUACUCCACUUUCAACAACACUUGGAUUUUGGCUUCAAAUCUUCAUUUUAAGGCUAAAAGGUUGGGUUGAUCUUUAUACUUCAAGCACCAAGGUAAAGGAACUUCAAACUUGAACAAUUAGUUUAAUGUGUUUGUGAAUUAGACUAGAAUUCUAGGUUAAAAGUUGGGUUAGAGUGUAGAUUGUAUAGUGUAUAUUUAUUAGAAUUGUUAAAUUCAAAUUAUGACUUGAUGGAGGUUGUUAUGGCUUAUCGGUAAAUAUAGGUUUUAACGGUAUUUCAGGACUACCUGGAUUAAGAUUUUGUUAGGUGGCAUCGUUAAGGUAAGUGAACUUGCAUUUAAAAUGCUUUGAACAAAUGCAUAUGUGUUUGAAUAAAAUAUUUGAAUAUCCUUGGUUGAUUUCUUUUAAAAUUAUUCACGAAAACAAGCUUUUCACAAGUAAUUCUUUUACGUGGUUGAAUAAAUAAUGUGCUGAGUUAUGUACUUGGAAUGUUAUGUUGAUUUGCCAAUUGAUUUGUGGCAUGUGUGUAUUGGAAAUCUAGAGAUGUCCUAAAUUAUUGGCAAAAUGAAUAAUGUCUUUUUUAGUAUUGGAUAGUGCAACUAUGUUUAUGACCAGUAAAAUAAUGAAUUAUGUGAGAUAUAGUACUAUGCAAAUAUGUUUGUUAUGUGUUGAUAUGUGUGUUAUUUUUUGAAAUGUAAUGUUGAUUGAUUAAUAUAAUCAUGCAUGUGCGGUGUGGGAGUGCACAUGACGGUGCUGGUAAUUGUGUGGGCAGGGGUGCGUGUGAUGGUAUUGAAAUGUGCGUGUAGGAAGUGCACAUAAUGAUAUUGAAAUGUGAGUAUAGAGAGUGCACAUGAUGAUAUUGCCUUGCGCGUGUAGAGAGUGCACAAGAGCUGAUGACUGGUGGUUGCAUGUAUGUUUAUAUAUUUAUACACUAUUGAGAUGUUUAUAUAUGCUAUGAAAAAGUUAAGAAAAUAUUAUGUGAUCGUAUUGAAUGUUGAAAGCUGAUUUUCUUAAAUGUUUUAAACGAGUUAAAAGACAACAUUGCAUCGAGUUUUGUUCAUGGCAUACAAAAUUGCAUUGUUUUCAAAACGAAUGCAUCAUGUUUUCAAAAACUUUCAGUAUUGGUUGCUUGUUCCCUUCUUAUGUUCACUCACUGAGUUUAUACUCAUUCUUUUCAAAUUCAUGUUUUAGUUUCAGGAUCGAAGGUAGUUGGAUCCUAGGUUGAGGUGCUCCCUCCUAUUCAUCUUUCAGUAGGUUCACCAUGCCACUAAAUGUUAGCACCCACGCCUAGAGUCACUCUGCUGACGGUCAAGCUCAUUGUAUGUGUAUAUGUAUACUUAAUGUGAAUUGCUAAGAUUCAUUUGUCAGACUAUAUAUGUAUAUUAUGAUCGAUGAUGCCAUUAUGAGUAAAU